rnacentral:lncRNA from 1 species
ACUGAUCGAACGAAGCUAGGACAAAGGGUGAUUAAAAUUGUAACACUAACAAAGCCAAAAAAGCAUUUUCACAGAACAGGUGCAUGUAUGUUAAAAUGAUUAAAUUUACAAAUACGCUAUAUAUACAAAAGGACAUAAUUAGGAUACACAGGUACACUACCAUAACUCACCCACCUAUUGUAUGAAAAAACAAAAAAAGGCAAAAAAAAAACAUCAUUAGAAAAUAACUUAAAAAAGAAAGCAAAAUGGGGUUACAGCGACGAUUAUGGGGGACGAUGUAUUUGGGAACUGAUUAAAAAUACUGACACAUUUUCAUUCUAUGCUUUCUCUAGAGUGAUUAUACNAUUAUUAAGUUACGUUAUUUUUUAUUAAAAGAAAAAUUAGUUUAAUACCGAUCCUUUUCGAGUUACAAAGCCAUAAAGAUCAAGCAAAAACAUAACACAAGUACAGGGUCAGCAGUGCAGAUUCAAGUUGACAAAACAUGAAUACACAUUUUAUUUUUUUUAAAAAAAAAUUUUUAAAAGCAAUAAAGGGUAAAAAAUUACAAUAUUAUUAGAAAAUAAACAAGCAGAUCACUGAUCGAAUGAAGCUAGGACAAAGGGUGAUUAAAAUUGUAACACUAACAAAGCCAAAAAAGCAUUUUCACAGAACAGGUGCAGGUAUGUUAAAAUGAUUAAAUUUACAAAUACGCUAUAUAUACAAAAGGACAUAAUUAGGAUACACAGGUACACUACCAUAACUCCACCUAUUGUAUAAAAAAAACAAAAAAAGGAAAAAGAAACAUCAUUGAGGAAGAGAAAAUAACUUAAAAAAGGAAAGCAAAAUGGGGUUACAGCGACGAUUAUGGCGGACGAUGUAUUUGGGAACUGAUUAAAAAUACUGACACAUUUUCAUUCUAUGCUUUCUCUA